CUGCCAGUGCAGUACUGCAUCCGUCGUGAUCCGAAUAAAGCUUAUAUUGUCCACAUUGAUUAAACUAUCAUUAUUAAAAUCAUUUUGAUUCUUCUAUAUUUGUACGUACUUUUUUACAACUCUGAACCCGGAAGCGAGGUAUUCUGGGAAGGUUAUUUUAAAGAUGGCGGGCGUUUUGGAAUUUAUUCGUGGAGUGCAUGAGAAAUGUUCAAUAUACAGCUACUUGGAUUACACAAACAGAGAAAGAUAGAUUAUACCAGUUAAAUUGAGAGGUUUUAUUUGAAAAUCCUAUAUUUGAGCACCAUUCAUGGCAGUCAUGUCGAGGAAGUUAUAAAAAGGUUGAUAAGGGCUUUGUAUAUGGAAGCUAGAUGACAUUACUACUUAUCAUACACAACUAUUUGUCACAUACCGACUUGGGAUUGAAACCAAGCGACUGAACUCAAUAACACUCCUCAAUAACACUCGUCUAUGAAACCACCCAGAUGGCAAAGAAAUAAAGACUUUUUAAUUA